rnacentral:rRNA from 1 species
AGUGAACGCUGGCGGUAGGCCUAACACAUGCAGGUCGAACGGCAGCACAGUAAGAGCUUGCUCUUACGGGUGGCGAGUGGCGGACGGGUGAGGAAUACAUCGGAAUCUACUUUUUCGUGGGGGAUAACGUAGGGAAACUUACGCUAAUACCGCAUACGACCUACGGGUGAAAGCAGGGGAUCUUCGGACCUUGCGCGAUUGAAUGAGCCGAUGUCGGAUUAGCUAGUAGGCGGGGUAAAGGCCCACCAAGGCGACGAUCCGUAGCUGGUCUGAGAGGAUGAUCAGCCACACUGGAACUGAGACACGGUCCAGACUCCUACGGGAGGCAGCAGUGGGGAAUAUUGGACAAUGGGCGCAAGCCUGAUCCAGCCAUACCGCGUGGGUGAAGAAGGCCUUCGGGUUGUAAAGCCCUUUUGUUGGGAAAGAAAAGCAGCAGGUUAAUACCCCGCUGUUCUGACGGUACCCAAAGAAUAAGCACCGGCUAACUUCGUG